rnacentral:rRNA from 1 species
CCAUACCGCCAUCAAUGAGCCUGAUCUGGUCUGACCUUGGAAGCUAGCAGUUUUGGGCCUGGUUAGUACUGGGAUCAGAGACCACCUGGGAAUACCUGGUGCUGUAGGCU